CCUGGAUCCCUGGCAGUGCCCAAGGCCAGGCUGGACACUGGGGCUGGGAGCACCUGGGACAGUGGGAGGUGUCCCUCCUUUAAGGUCCCUUCCAACCUCAACCAUUCUUUGACUUUGGAGAAAUCUUUAAAAACCUGGCUACUCAAACAAACAGAAGCAAUUUUCACAUACAAAAUCAGUUUGAUGUAAACGUUGCUUUAAUCUGAUGAAGGUUAAUAAUAAGUUUUUGUUUAGUAUAGUCUAAACUCUUCAUGCUAGGACUUCAACACUAAUUUAACUAUUAGCACAAAAGUAGAAGAUAACAGGUUAUUGUGAAUAAAACUAUGGUAGAAAAAAGAAAGAGCUAAAAGCCUGUUAUUCAUGAGUUAUUGAAAACAAAAAAGGAAGAAACCUUAUUUUACCUACACUCUACAAAAUUUUCCAUGUCAUUUUUUUUUUCAGAGGAAGCAAUUUUUAGAGAGAUAAUGAAGAGCCUGUAGAACUAAUGUAUAUUCUGUGAGAUUUCUAACUGCCUUAAACUGAGUUGUACAGAUAUUUAAAAUUUGCACAAUUAGACUUCUGUCCUGCUGAUAGAAGUUCUGAUAGAAACAAACUAGAAGUUUACAAAUCAAACUCCUUUGUUCAGUUUUAUGUUGGGCCAGGCUACAACUGAGAGGUUGCCUGUAUUUUUGAGAGUUGUAUAAUCCAGUUUAAUGUAAAUUUCAGCUGACUUGGAGGCCUGGUUUGCCCCCUCUCCCAGGUUUGAUGUCCUUUGGGUGUGCUGGGAAUAAGGGGAAGCACCUCUGGCUUUUUCUGGGCUCCAUGUAGGAUGCAGAGGAAAACUGACUGACUACACUGAUGUUGUUUUUAGGAAUUGUGGAUGGCAAAUAAUAACUGAGGUUGUUUAUUUUGCUUCUUAGUGUACACUCAUCUUUAGAAGCCCUCAGGCUAAAAGACAGGCACUUUAACCUAAACCUGAGUAAAACAUCUAAUUAAAAUGAAUAAUAACUUUAUGUGCUAGAUAAGAAUUUGAGACAUUAAAGGAAGAACUGUUACUUUUCCCAUAUUUAGACAUGCACUUUUACCUUGGUUUGUCCUACUUGAGACAAAUUAAAGCUUCCCUUAUAUAUUUCCUUUUCCUAUCAGCAAAGCAUGUUUUGUUAAAAUCAGGGAGAUUUUAUUAAUGUUCCACAAGUCAGAGGUUGGAAUCUCAAUAGGAAAUGUUUGGCUUAUUCAAAUUUAUAUUUUUAUGCUAAAACUUCUUGAAACUAAUGGAAAAAAUGUACAGUGAUCAGGGUGAGAUCAAUGCAGGAAAACCACCUGUGUAAGAAUUUUAGCUGUAGAAGUAAUUUUGACUUUACUUAAAUAGAAAUUUGGAUACCAGACCUGUUUCUGUCUACCUGACUGACCUACUGUUGAAUUUCUGUGCUUGAGGAACUGGGUUCUUUCUUGGCUGUGCAGUCUUGUAGUAAUGAGAUGAGAAAACUGUGACUGGAGUGGUUCCAGUGUAGUUAAGAUGAACAAUAACACUGUCACUCCUAAAAAUUGUUUUGUUUUCAGGCCUGGUUCAGAAUUUGUUUUGCUGGAUUUGUAAGACAGAAUGUAAUUUGCAUUUUUCAUCAGGACACUCUGUAAUUCCAAAAUAUUUCAUUGUUGCUUUAUACUUUUUAGAUUUGUUUUAUAAGUAAAACUGCAAGUCUGUGUGUGUAAACAUCCUUUAUUUUAAGGAUAAAAGCUGACUGAACUGGAAUCCAGUUAGAACUUAUUGCUCCUGGGCAAGUUUUGGAAUCAAAAUUUUUCCAGUUAAAGAGGGCAGAAAUGGUGGCUCUCUUUGGAUCACAUGUUGAACAAUUCUAUAAUUUAAAUUUGGCUGAAAUGUAGUGUUAGGAUAAGAGAAGACUGGAAGACUUUACAACUAUUAAUUUAUGGAAGUGGUUUUCCUUGUCUUUUUGGUAGAUGAUGCCCUCUCCUAUUCCCAAGCUCUGGCAUUCCCAAGGGAACUUGUGCAUGCUGGAGCUCCAGGGAGCACCUUUCAGUACUGACUGAUCACAGCAGCCAAGGGCUCCUUGCCUUGUGGGUUUUUCCCUGCUGGUAUCCUAGGGAGAGUCGCUUCCCUGUGCACAGAUGUGGUUUCUGACCUCUGGGGCUUCUGCUGGCUGUGUUCACAUUGCUAGAGGCUUCUCUUUGUCUCCUCAUUUGGUGAUUUAGAGAAAUGUCUCCUGAGCCACAAUGGCCUUGGGCAGAACUCAGGGUGGGUCACUGAUGGAGGAGUUGGGAGCAGGAGGAAGCCUGCAGGACCCCAUGGAAAAGGGGCCCUUGUUCAGGAGGGGAUCCCAUUGUGAGGAAUGGAUGUUCUUAACAACAGAACUCAGUGUGAAAAAAUCUGUCCCCAAGCCUUGCAAAUCAGUGUUUGGAAGGAUUUUCCUGCUGCUGCCUGGACACCACGGGUUCUGCUCUGGAGUGACUGAGGGAAAGAUUAGUUGGGACAUCUCUGAAUGGUUGAGGAAUGAAAAAACUCUUUUCUCUGUUUCCUUGGGCAAACUCCUCAUGGCAGGGGCGUUCCUGGGCAGCAGCAGCAGCAGCAGUGUUGGUGCUCAUCCCUUGGUUCUGCCCCCAGAGCCCUGGGGUGCAUCCCUGUGUCCUUCCCAGGACUGGGAUGUUCCUGUUCCAGGAUCACACUGUGUGUUCAGUUGUGCCAAACACUGCCCUGGCAUCAUUGUCCCCUCCUGUCAACUGAGCAGCUUUGGAAGGUGUGUUUUCCUAUUUUUCAUAAUUUAUACAUACUAUUGACUAGAAUUUAAAGACCAGAGCUGGUACUGGCAAAUUCUUUCCAAGUGUGAUCCCUUGCACAAGCAGGCCUUACCCAGAGCCAGUGAGGGAGACUUGUCCAGGAUUCUGGGAUUGAGUCCUUUGUUAAAAGAACGUUUCAUUUUGAGUCCUCCAUGUGCACUCACACUGCACUCACUUGUUUUGUUGGUUUUUUUAAAAACCCAAAUCCUCACAUUAUAAGGUAAUGGGUGAUUAACAUUUUAACUGUUAUUAAUGGAAGUUUGGAAAGGAGAUGGAACUUUUCCAUAGUUCUGUAGCUGCAAAACAUGAACCUUGUGGGGGUUUUGUUUUCAUUGUCACUGAUUAUUUUAUAGCUUUGUGGACAUUUCUAACGUGCACUAUUUAUAGCACUCUUAAUACACACUCACUGUUUUGAGACUGAAUAUUCCAAUGAACAUUUGAAUAUUUCAACAUUUUCAUUAUCUCAGUUAAUAUUCAACUGUGAAGGAGGCAAUAGGAAAAAUAUUUUGUUUUUUCACAGACACAUGUUUAGAUGAAGAGGAUUUAGACAUAAAAUGUUGAUUGGCUUUUUAAUAUAAAAGUCAGUGCUGGGACAUUUCCCAGCAGUGUUUUCCAGACAAAUAAUCUGUUAAUGUUUGUUUUGUUCCAGAAUGUUUUGGGGGUUUGCUUUUUGUUUCUUUUUGACAAAGGGAAUGUAAUUUAGAAGUCUUCACUGGCAAGUUUUCUACUAAUUUUAAGCUUCUUUGAAAAUCUACAGCAAAUGAUGUUCUGCUGCAGGAAAUCUCUCUCCUGCUAAAGCAUUUUUCAUUGAGCAAUCUUUGUGUAUGUGCUUCUAAGUACCUACUUUGUUAAUAAUAUGUAUUUCAGCGUAAAGAGCAGAUUUUAUGCAAAAAUGAAAGCUGUUAGAGUUGUAAAAUAAAUUCUAAUGUUAGUGAACGUUUCUGAGAUGACAAGGUUAAUUCUGAAAUAACUCUAUCUUGUGUAGUUCAUGCUGUGAAGCUUUGCUUUUGUAAGAUAUGAAUAAAAUAACACUUUCUAAUUA